AAGUAUAAGCAGGGCAAUAAUGUGUUCUUCCAAACAAAUCAGGACUCUGCCAUCAGCUCAUCCAGUGAGGAAUCUGCUGAGGAAAUCAAUGAGAAAAUUGCUCAGACUGAAGAACAAAAGAUCAACCUGAACGAGC